rnacentral:lncRNA from 1 species
CCUUCGCUGACCUCGGCGACACAGCCUACAGCUACAGAGACCCUCGCGGGAAAGUCAGCUUCUCAAAGCCAAACCUAGUUCCUGAUGGAAGCGCGACUCCAGUCCUGCCCCGAGUCUGGUUCCUGCUCCUGCUCCCAGGCCUGCCCUCCAGGAGCCCGGGGACCUGCACAGCCACGGACGCCACCGUAUCCAAUGGUGCCUGACAGUCUGCGCCUCGCUGGACCAUCAGACGCCCGAGGCGGAGACCGUGUCUGUCUGGCUCACCGCAGCCUCCCUGCGCCUGACACAUAGCCUUGUGACCUCAUCUUUUGGAGACUUCAAGAGAAACAACAGCCCAAGUCAAUCAGGCCUCUGACAGUCAGGAUUAGGGCCUUUACGGAGAAACCAGGACAUCAGAACUUGGCUUUUGCGGGAGGAAAUGCCAGCAAGGCCUUGGCCCCGCUGAUCAGGGCGACCCUGCCCCAGCCUGGACGGUCCAGCGAGAGCCAGCCCUGCACUGAGGUUGCACUCCAGUCCCGAGCCACCGAACACCUUGGCAAGUCACCGAACCUCCCAGACUCAGUGUCCCCAUCUGUAAAAUGGGACGCCGCGGACGCCGUGGCCGUGAGUGCCCACGCUGACAGACGCAGCACAGUACCUGCUCGAUGGGUCGUAGCAGCUCCUCCUCACUUCCAGAGCCAGGGGGAGCCUGGAGGAAGAGGGGCGACCCCAGGUGGCAGAGGCCAGGGCUCGUUAUGCCAGAAAGAGACUCAGGCCCAUGGGAGCAGCCGCACGGGGCCUCAGCGACCUCAGGGGCGCAAGCCGGAUCAGUCGUCGCCUCAUGACUCACUCCUGUGCUGGCGGAGGCCGGGCCGUCCUUCCUUCAUAGGUUUGUCUAUUUCUUCACUUCUUUUGUACUUUUUAAUUUGUUGUUCCAUAACACAAUGGACACUCAUGAGUCCACCCCCCGCGGCCAGAACAAGAGUGUGACUCACGAGGCCGGGCCCCACGUGUCCCCAUCUGCCCCGGAAGGGAGCCCCUUUCCUCCGCCGAACAAACACUCACGUUGUCCUCACUCCGGCCCAGGCACGUGAUCCUGAAUUUGUUUGUCAUCCCCAGGCUUUUUGGCAUAAAGAUUUCUGGUGUGAGGACGCCUGUGUGCCUGUCUACACCCGUGGUGAUCAGGCUGGAGUGAGCUCAGAAUGACCUGGAAGGCUUGAGGACGGAUUGGGGCCCCAGGCCCGGAGUGGCGGAUUCCGCAGGUCUGGAGCAGGCUGAGAACCUGUGUUUCUGGCACAUCCCCCCGGAUGCGGAUCCUGCCGCUCUGGGGGCCGCGCUCGGAGCCCCAUGGCCCUACAUAACCCAGUCCUGAGCUGCAGGGCGUCGUGUUCUCCGAGACGAGAUUUUUUCACUCGACCCUGGUCAUUCUCAACCGGAGCGAUCUUGCCUCCAGGGGACACUGGGCAGUGUCUGGGGACAUUUGCGGUUGUCACCACAGGUCGGACGUGGGUGCUCCUGGCAUCGGGGCGGGGGGUAAAGUCAGGGGUGUUGCUAAACGCCCUGUGAUGCCCAGGACGGCCCUGCCCCAGUGUCCGCAGCCCCAGGGAGAGGAAAACACACGUCCACACGGAAGUUUGUACACGAAUGUCCACAGCAGCGUUAUCCUACGAGCCAAACCACGGGAACAAUCCACAUUCCGGUCAGCCGACAAAUAAAUAGACAGAAUGGGGUCCAUCCACACACUGCAAUAGGAUCCCGCCUUGAGGAGGAACGAAGUGCUGACCCCUCUAUGCUGAGCCUCGAAAAUACACUAAAUGAAAGAAGCCAGACCCAGACAGCCACAUAGUGCAAGAUCCCACGAUGUGACACGCCCAGCACAGGUGGAUCCAGAGACAGAGAGCAGAGUGGGGGUUCCGGGGCCAGGGGUCGGGGGAGGGACCGCUGAUGGGGAGGGGGCUCCUCUCAGGGGGACGAGGAUGUGCUAAAAGGGAUUGUGGCGAUGUUACACAACUCUGCGAACAGAAGAGAAUCCAUUGAAUUAUAUGAUUUAAGCGAAUUGUGUCUUAUGUGAAUUACAUCUCAAU